rnacentral:rRNA from 1 species
GACGAACCGAGCGAACGUUAUUCGGAAUCACUGGGCUUAAAGGGCGCGUAGGCGGGCGGUCAAGUCCGGGGUGAAAGCCCCCAGCUCAACUGGGGAAGUGCCUCGGAUACUGGCCGCCUCGAGGGGGAUAGGGGCGUGCGGAACUUCCGGUGGAGCGGUGAAAUGCGUAGAUAUCGGAAGGAACACCGAUGGCGAAAGCAGCGCGCUGGAUCCCUUCUGACGCUGAGGCGCGAAAGCCAGGGGAGCGAACGGGAUUAGAAACCCCCGUAGUCC